rnacentral:rRNA from 1 species
ACAUGGCGAACUGCUCAGUAACACGUGGACAACCUGCCCUUAGGUUGGGUAUAAACCCGGGAAACUGGGUAUAAUACCCGAUAGGUCUCGAUUGCUGGAAUGCAUCGAGAUUUAAAGCUCCGGCGCCCAAGGAUGGGUCUGCGGCCUAUCAGGUAGUAGUGGGUGUAGCGUACCUACUAGCCUACGACGGGUACGGGUUGUGAGAGCAAGAGCCCGGAGAUGGAUUCUGAGACACGAAUCCAGGCCCUACGGGGUGCAGCAGGCGCGAAAACUUUACAAUGCUGGCAACAGCGAUAAGGGAACCUCGAGUGCCAGGUUACAAAUCUGGCUGUCGAGAUGCCUAAAAAGCAUUUCAUAGCAAGGGCCGGGCAAGACCGGUGCCAGCCGCCGCGGUAACACCGGCGGCUCGAGUGGUAACCGUUAUUAUUGGGUCUAAAGGGUCUGUAGCCGGCCGGAUAAGUCUCUUGAGAAAUCUGGCAGCUUA